GGGACUCGGGAUCGACUAGCCAUGCGAGUCGAUGUUCUUCGUGAACAUGGCGGACUGCUCAGUAACACGUGGACAACCUACCCUCGAGUCCGGCAUAAUCCUGGGAAACUGGGGAUAAUUCCGGAUAGGUCACCGAUGCUGGAAUGCGCGGUGGCCAAAAGCUCCGGCGCCCGAGGAUGGGUCCGCGGCCUAUCAGGGUUGUAGUGGGUGUAACGUACCUACUAGCCUACGACGGGUACGGGUUGUGAGAGCAAGAGCCCGGAGAUGGAUUCUGAGACACGAAUCCAGGCCCUACGGGGUGCAGCAGGCGCGAAAACUUUACAAUGCGGGAAACCGUGAUAAGGGAAUCUCGAGUGCCAGCAUAUAAUGUUGGCUGUCCAGAUGCCUAAAAAGCAUCUGUUAGCAAGGGCCGGGCAAGACCGGUGCCAGCCGCCGCGGUAACACCGGCGGCCCGAGUGGUAACCGCUAUUAUUGGGUCUAAAGGGUCUGUAGCCGGCCAGGUAAGUCCCUUGGGAAAUCUGGCAGCUUAACUGUCAGGCUGCUAGGGGAUACUGUCUGGCUUGGGACCGGGAGAGGUGAGAGGUACCUUGGGGGUAGGGGUGAAAUCUUGUGAUCCUCGGGGGACCACCAGUGGCGAAGGCGUCUCACCAGAACGGGUCCGACGGUAAGGGACGAAAGCUAGGGGCACGAACCGGAUUAGAUACCCGGGUAGUCCUAGCCGUAAACGAUGCUCGCUAGGUGUCAGUCACGGUGCGACCGUGAUUGGUGCCGUAGGGAAGCCGUGAAGCGAGCCACCUGGGAAGUAUGGCCGCAAGGCUGAAACUUAAAGGAAUUGGCGGGGGAGCACUACAACGGGUGGAGCCUGCGGUUUAAUUGGAUUCAACGCCGGG
rnacentral:rRNA from 1 species